ACUACAAGACAUUACUUGCUUCUUUAUCGAACCGAAACGCGGCGUCUUGCGGUAAUGAGUGUGGAUUGGAAAAUUCACAGAAUCUGCGAAUCUAUGAACUCAUCUUGUACCCCUUGAUUUACCCUGGUGCUGGCCUGGUUGAGCGUCAUUUGUACCUU
rnacentral:rRNA from 1 species